rnacentral:pre_miRNA from 1 species
CGUGUCGAUACCGGAACUGAACUCUCGUGGGUCUGCAGUACCAUUUAGUAAAGUAUCGUGUAGCACCAUGAGAUUCAGCUCUGGUGUUUGAUAUU